ACACUGUACGAGUUUGAUAUGGCUCAGAGCGAACGUUUGCGGCGGGCCUAACACAUGCAAGUCGAACGCACUAGCAAUAGUGAGUGGCGCACGGGUGCGUAACACGUGGGUAAUCAACCCUUCAGCCUGGGAUAACGACUCGAAAGGGUCGCUAAUACCGGAUACGGCGCGAGAGGCUUCGGCUUCUCACGAGAAAGCCACGCAAGGGGCACUGAAGGACGAGCCUGCGGCCCAUCAGCUAGUUGGUGAGGUAAGAGCUCACCAAGGCUAAGACGGGUAGCUGGUCUGAGAGGAUGAUCAGCCACACUGGAACUGAGACACGGUCCAGACUCCUACGGGAGGCAGCAGUGGGGAAUAUUGGACAAUGGGCGAAAGCCUGAUCCAGCCACGCCGCGUGGGUGAUGAAGGCCUUCGGGUUGUAAAGCCCUGUCGGGAGGGACGAAUCAAUGACGGUACCUCCCAAGAAAGCACCGGCUGACUCCGUG
rnacentral:rRNA from 1 species